rnacentral:rRNA from 1 species
GUGGGGAAUAUUGGACAAUGGGGGGAACCCUGAUCCAGCCAUGCCGCGUGUGUGAAGAAGGCCUUUUGGAUGUAAAGCACUUUAAGCGAGGAGGAGGCUACCGUGAUUAAUACUCUUGGAUAGUGGACGUUACUCGCAGAAUAAGCACCGGCUAACUCUGUGCCAGCAGCCGCGGUAAUACAGAGGGUACAAGCGUUAAUCGGAUUUACUGGGCGUAAAGCGCGCGUAGGUGGCCAAUUAAGUCAAAUGUGAAAUCCACGUUCUUAACUUGGGAAUUGCAUUCGAUACUGGUUGGCUAGAGUAUUGGAGAGGAUGGUAGAAUUCCAGGUGUAGCGGUGAAAUGCGUAGAGAUCUGGAGGAAUACCGAUGGCGAAGGCAGCCAUCUGGCCUAAUACUGACACUGAGGUGCGAAAGCAUGAGGAGCAAACAGGAUUAGAAACCCGGGUAGUCC